CUCUUUCGGUAACCGUAGGGCUUCAUUGAAAUCCGUCCGUCUCUACGGAUAAGACUCCGAAAUUUCUCACUGUUUUUCCCAAAUUCCAACUCGGUCAAUCCAGAAUUCCCCUUUCUCUCGUUGAUCUGAUAACUGGAUCAGAUUUGUUCAUGACUUGGCGAGGUCAAUUUUAGCGAAUUCGAAGAACAAAGAACGAAAACGUUCG